GCCUAGAUGCGCAAAAAGACAAGGCUUUUUGGUGAUAUCUGCAAGUGGUUCCCGAUAAUGUAGUACAUCUUAAGAAAAAGAAAGCUAUACAGCCUGCUAUAAAGGACUAACUUUUGCAUAUUAAUAUGCAGUGGCUUGGCUGUAUCCCCUACCCAGCCAGCCGUGCUUGGUUAGACCUGCAGAGUUUUUCCCUGUUUCUGCUUGUUGACACUAGAAAUGGAGGGAAAAGUCUGCCCGUGUUCCUCCCACAUCAUGCAGUGACUAUUCAAGGGAGCCUGGAGUUUUGCAAGAAUCCAGAAAACAAAUAACUAGCUGUUGAGGAGUAUGUCUGGCAGGUACCAGCGAGUUAGAAGAGCUUAGGAGCAGGCACAGAGAAGUGAGAAGCAUGUGAUCUACAGUACUGAGUAUUUUGUCACCUUAAAGUAAAGGUAA